AUUGAACGCUGGCGGCAUGCCUUACACAUGCAAGUCGAACGGCAGCACGGGUGCUUGCACCUGGUGGCGAGUGGCGAACGGGUGAGUAAUACAUCGGAACGUACCUUAUCGUGGGGGAUAACGCAGCGAAAGCUGUGCUAAUACCGCAUACGCCCUGAGGGGGAAAGCGGGGGAUCGCAAGACCUCGCGCGAUUAGAGCGGCCGAUGCCUGAUUAGCUAGUUGGUGGGGUAAAAGCCCACCAAGGCGACGAUCAGUAGCUGGUCUGAGAGGACGAGCAGCCACACUGGGACUGAGACACGGCCCAGACUCCUACGGGAGGCAGCAGUGGGGAAUUUUGGACAAUGGGGGCAACCCUGGUCCAGCAAUGCCGCGUGAGUGAAGAAGGCCUUCGGGUUGUAAAGCUCUUUUGUCAGGGAAGAAACACCGGCUCUAACACAGUCCGGGAAUGACGGUACCUGAAGAAUAAGCACCGGCUAACUACGUGCCAGCCGCCGCCGUAA
rnacentral:rRNA from 1 species